GCUGGGUGUGGUAGCAUGCACCUGUAAUCCCAGCUGCUUGGGAGGCUGAGGCAGGAGGAUUGAGGACUGAGUUCAAAGCCAGCCUCAG
rnacentral:sRNA from 1 species